UCUUCUAUAGUAUAGUAAUUAGUAUAUAAGCUUAUUAUACUUAAGAUUUAAGUUUAAUUCCUAGUAGGAGAG
rnacentral:tRNA from 1 species